rnacentral:rRNA from 1 species
AGAAUCAACGCUGGCGGCGUGCCUCAGACAUGCAAGUCGAACGCGAAAGUUUCCUUCGGGAAAUGAGUAGAGUGGCGCACGGGUGAGUAACACGUAGGUAAUCUACCUUUGGAUGGGGAAUAACAACCGGAAACGGUUGCUAAUACCGCAUAAUGCAGCGGCACCUAAUGGUGACAGUUGUUAAAGCGGGGGAUCGAAAGACCUCGCGUCUGAAGAGGAGCCUGCGGCGGAUUAGCUAGUUGGUAAGGUAAUGGCUUACCAAGGCUACGAUCC